rnacentral:misc_RNA from 1 species
GUUUUCGGCGGCGGCGGCAGCGGCAGCAGCAACUCCAUCUCCAGCCAUGGCGACUCCGGCAACCGAAUCUGUGCAAUGCUUCGGCCGCAAGAAGACGGCCGUAGCUGUCACGCACUGCAAGCGUGGCCGCGGCCUGAUCAAGGUGAACGGCAGCCCCAUCGAGCUGGUGAAGCCCGAGAUCCUCCGCUACAAGGCCUUUGAGCCAAUUCUCCUCCUCGGCCGCCACCGCUUUGCCGGCGUCGACAUGCGGAUCCGCGUCCGCGGCGGCGGAAAGACCUCGCAGAUCUACGCGAUCCGGCAGAGCAUUGCUAAGGCUCUCGUCGCUUACUACCAGAAGUACGUUGACGAGCAGGCUAAGAAGGAGGUGAAGGACAUACUGAUGAGGUACGAUCGUACGCUUCUGGUUGCUGAUCCUCGCCGGUGCGAGCCGAAGAAGUUUGGUGGGCGCGGUGCUCGCUCUCGGUUCCAGAAGUCCUACCGUUGAUCGGUUUGUGUGUUUGGCAUUCGAGGUUUUGUCCUUUAUCAAUUAUCGCAUGUUUGCUUUAGAUUUGUUGUUCAGUUU